AACGAACGCUGGCGGCAUGCCUAACACAUGCAAGUCGAACGAGACCUUCGGGUCUAGUGGCGCACGGGUGCGUAACGCGUGGGAACCUGCCCUUAGGUUCGGAAUAACUCCCCGAAAGGGGUGCUAAUACCGGAUAAUGUCUUCGGACCAAAGAUUUAUCGCCUUUGGAUGGGCCCGCGUUGGAUUAGCUAGUUGGUAGGGUAAAAGCCUACCAAGGCGACGAUCCAUAGCUGGUCUGAGAGGAUGAUCAGCCACACUGGGACUGAGACACGGCCCAGACUCCUACGGGAGGCAGCAGUGGGGAAUAUUGGACAAUGGGCGAAAGCCUGAUCCAGCAAGGCCGCGUGAGUGAUGAAGGCCUUAGGGUUGUAAAGCUCUUUUACCCGGGAUGAUAAUGACAGUACCGGGAGAAUAAGCACCGGCUAACUCCGUG
rnacentral:rRNA from 1 species